UACGGCGGGUGCGAGCGUUGUCCGGAAUCACUGGGCGUAAAGGGCGCGUAGGCGGCGCGGGGAGUCAACGGUGAAAGCUCGGCGCUCAACGCCGAGUCGGCCGUCGAUACUCCCGUGCUUGAGCACUGUAGAGGCAGGUGGAAUUCCGGGUGUAGCGGUGGAAUGCGUAGAGAUCCGGAAGAACACCGGUGGCGAAGGCGGCCUGCUGGGCAGUAGCUGACGCUGAGGCGCGACAGCGUGGGGAGCAAACAGG
rnacentral:rRNA from 1 species